AGUGAAGGAGACCAAUGCCAUGAGGGUUAUCUCACAGCCCCAGAUGCUGGAUAAGUUGAAGGAGGCAGAAACGCUUUUGGAUGACAUUCAGGAAGGCCAUGAAUGAUUAUGUGGUGAAGAAAAGACUGUUCUUCCCAAG
rfam:Cuculus canorus isolate BGI_N303 unplaced genomic scaffold scaffold222, whole genome shotgun sequence.